AGGGGUAUAGUUCAAUGGUAGAGCAACGGUCUCCAACACCGUUAGUGUGGGUUCGAGUCCUGCUACCCCUG
rnacentral:tRNA from 1 species